UAACUGAAGAGUUUGAUCAUGGCUCAGAUUGAACGCUGGCGGCAGGCUUAACACAUGCAAGUCGAGCGGAGAGAGGUAGCUUGCUACUGAUCUUAGCGGCGGACGGGUGAGUAAUGCUUAGGAAUCUACCUAUUAGUGGGGGACAACAUUUCGAAAGGAAUGCUAAUACCGCAUACGUCCUACGGGAGAAAGCAGGGGAUCUUCGGACCUUGCGCUAAUAGAUGAGCCUAAGUCGGAUUAGCUAGUUGGUGGGGUAAAGGCCUACCAAGGCGACGAUCUGUAGCGGGUCUGAGAGGAUGAUCCGCCACACUGGGACUGAGACACGGCCCAGACUCCUACGGGAGGCAGCAGUGGGGAAUAUUGGACAAUGGGCGCAAGCCUGAUCCAGCCAUGCCGCGUGUGUGAAGAAGGCCUUAUGGUUGUAAAGCACUUUAAGCGAGGAGGAGGCUACUUUAGUUAAUACCUAGAGAUAGUGGACGUUACUCGCAGAAUAAGCACCGGCUAACUCUGUGCCAGCAGCCGCGGUAAUACAGAGGGUGCAAGCGUUAAUCGGAUUUACUGGGCGUAAAGCGCGCGUAGGCGGCUAAUUAAGUCAAAUGUGAAAUCCCCGAGCUUAACUUGGGAAUUGCAUUCGAUACUGGUUAGCUAGAGUGUGGGAGAGGAUGGUAGAAUUCCAGGUGUAGCGGUGAAAUGCGUAGAGAUCUGGAGGAAUACCGAUGGCGAAGGCAGCCAUCUGGCCUAACACUGACGCUGAGGUGCGAAAGCAUGGGGAGCAAACAGGAUUAGAUACCCUGGUAGUCCAUGCCGUAAACGAUGUCUACUAGCCGUUGGGGCCUUUGAGGCUUUAGUGGCGCAGCUAACGCGAUAAGUAGACCGCCUGGGGAGUACGGUCGCAAGACUAAAACUCAAAUGAAUUGACGGGGGCCCGCACAAGCGGUGGAGCAUGUGGUUUAAUUCGAUGCAACGCGAAGAACCUUACCUGGCCUUGACAUAGUAAGAACUUUCCAGAGAUGGAUUGGUGCCUUCGGGAACUUACAUACAGGUGCUGCAUGGCUGUCGUCAGCUCGUGUCGUGAGAUGUUGGGUUAAGUCCCGCAACGAGCGCAACCCUUUUCCUUAUUUGCCAGCGAGUAAUGUCGGGAACUUUAAGGAUACUGCCAGUGACAAACUGGAGGAAGGCGGGGACGACGUCAAGUCAUCAUGGCCCUUACGGCCAGGGCUACACACGUGCUACAAUGGUCGGUACAAAGGGUUGCUACCUAGCGAUAGGAUGCUAAUCUCAAAAAGCCGAUCGUAGUCCGGAUUGGAGUCUGCAACUCGACUCCAUGAAGUCGGAAUCGCUAGUAAUCGCGGAUCAGAAUGCCGCGGUGAAUACGUUCCCGGGCCUUGUACACACCGCCCGUCACACCAUGGGAGUUUGUUGCACCAGAAGUAGCUAGCCUAACUGCAAAGAGGGCGGUUACCACGGUGUGGCCGAUGACUGGGGUGAAGUCGUAACAAGGUAGCCGUAGGGGAACCUGCGGCUGGAUCACCUCCUUA
rnacentral:rRNA from 1 species